rnacentral:rRNA from 1 species
UACAGAGGUCUCAAGCGUUGUUCGGAUUCAUUGGGCGUAAAGGGUGUGUAGGUGGCGCCGUAAGUCAGGUGUGAAAUUUCGGAGCUUAACUCCGAAACUGCAUUUGAUACUGCGGUGCUUGAGGACUGGAGAGGAGACUGGAAUUCACGGUGUAGCAGUGAAAUGCGUAGAUAUCGUGAGGAAGACCAGUGGCGAAGGCGGGUCUCUGGACAGUUCCUGACACUGAGGCACGAAGGCCAGGGGAGCAAACGGG